rnacentral:rRNA from 1 species
GGGCCGACAGAGUUUGAUCAUGGCUCAGAACGAACGCUGGCGGCAGGCUUAACACAUGCAAGUCGAACGCCCCGCAAGGGGAGUGGCAGACGGGUGAGUAACACGUGGGAACGUCCCCCUCGGUUCGGAAUAACUCAGGGAAACUUGAGCUAAUACCGGAUACGUCCGAGAGGAGAAAGAUUUAUCGCCGAGGGAUCGGCCCGCGUCUGAUUAGCUAGUUGGUGAGGUAACGGCUCACCAAGGCGACGAUCAGUAGCUGGUCUGAGAGGAUGACCAGCCACACUGGGACUGAGACACGGCCCAGACUCCUACGGGAGGCAGCAGUGGGGAAUCUUGGACAAUGGGCGCAAGCCUGAUCCAGCCAUGCCGCGUGAGUGAUGAAGGCCUUAGGGUUGUAAAGCUCUUUCGACGGGGACGAUAAUGACGGUACCCGUAGAAGAAGCCCCGGCUAACUUCGUGCCAGCAGCCGCGGUAAUAACCUAAAUAGCUA